rnacentral:rRNA from 1 species
GGGUCAGUAGGUUGGUCGUGCCACCGGUACGUACUGGUCUCACUGAUUCCUCCUUCCUGAAGAACCGUAAGGCCAGUAAUUUGGUGUUGCGGGGAAACAGGACUGUUACUUUGAAAAAAUUAGAGUGUUUAAAGCAAGCUAACGCUUGAAUACAUUAGCAUGGAAUAAUGAAAUAGGACGAUCGAUCCUAUUUUGUUGGUUUCUAGGAUUGACGUA